CUAUAUGUUAGUUCAUUGUGCAGAUUUUGUAUAUUGGUAGAUUAAAAUACAUACAGGUUAAUAAAUACUGAAAUGUGAUGCUUAAUAAAUAUUUGUAAUAGAGUUUACAUAUAUAAACUUACACAAAACGGCUUGUUUUACAGAUGCAUCUGGCGAUUCAUCAGGCGCUCUUGACAGUAAGCAAAUAAGUUAUACCUCUCUUUAUAAUAGUUAAUUUCAAAUUAUAAAAUAUAUAUAUUUUAACUGUACUGGUUCCUUGAUCCUGAUAAUGUAAAAUUACUGUAAAUAUAGAAACAUGCACAUGUAUCGCUGUGCGUUGUGUACAAUUCUUAAUUCACUUACAUGGAACACAUACAGGUAAAGGUGGAGAAAGCUUACAGGUUGUUCUCGACUAUUUCAAUAAUUGUAUUGUACCAGUGCUUACUACAUGAUCAUAUGCCUUCAGUUUGCAACAUGUAAUGGCUCGCUAUAAAACCUUCCAUGUUCCAUCAUUGUUUAUUGUAUUUUACUCUAUUUACUAGAUGUAAAUUGAAGGUUCAUUGUCCACCUCCCAACUUUUCAUUGAUUUGACUUCAUUAGCAUACCUUCUAUUUGGCAUAUAUUGGUUUUGUAAGAAAUAUGUAUAUCAUCCUUGGGUUCUAACAGGAGAUGAGAACAAUCAUCAAAGUGUUACCUUUUUAUUAUUAGUGAACUUUGUAAGUCUUACUGUUGUAUAGACAAUGUCCACAUGCUUAACAUAUUUAUAUAUUACAUUGAAUUUGAUUUUACAAAUCUAAUAUUACAUCAAAAUUAAACCAACUUUCUUUUUCUUUUUGCAGGAUUUUCCAUGCCCUGGACUCUUUGUUUACUUCUCAUGUCUCUAAUGUUUGUUAGCUUCAUGUAACAUUCUUACAGACCCUCUAAAGAAUACAGGCUGUGUCACGUUUCCACUAUUUAAAUUCUUUUGUAUAUUAGCUAUCUUAAUUCAGCUUAAUAAUUAUCAUUGCUUAAUUUACUAAAGACUUAAACAGUGCUGGGCUUUGUCCUGUCUCAGUAAGUAUGUCAAGCUGGACAUGAUUCUUUACAAAAAUUUGGAAUGUUUUAAAUGUUUAUCUAUGAGGUGCAUUUAUUUAUUUUACCUAUCCCUUUCUACUUAAAUAAUCUUCACAUUGUAUACAUUUCUUGUAUAUUUUCUAUCACAUAAUAAAUUGCAAACUAAUUAUACAUUGUCUUAUUUUGCUCAUUUUAACUUGUGUCUGUGUAUCAAAAGUUGAGGACAUCAGGUUCAUUAGUAGUGAAAUUGAUA